CUGCGCCACAAUGGGAACUCCUUAACCUCUUUUUAAAAGUCCAAAAAUGUUUAGGGCUAUGUAUUCCAAAGUAAAGAUUUAUAGACUUGUGUUUACAGAGAUAAUGAAAUUAUAAAUCUUUUGUUGUAAUACCAAAGAAGGGUUAUAAGAAUACCGGAAAUUUGGAUAGCAUCAAGAGGAGCGAUAACAUGGUAAUAGAUGUUUGAAACUGGCUGUGUAAAAAUACUAACAGAAUAAGCAAGGUCACCUUGAACCAUUUAGUCUGAGUGGCAUUUCAUGCAAAUACCCUUGAGGUUAGACUUAUUGAAGUCAUGACUUGAAUUGCUGCUAUCUUUGAGCUACUAAUCUGAAUGAGAGACUUGAAAUAUUGAGGUUGUGAAUUGAUUCAAGUAGUAAAAUGUCUCAUUUGCUAUGAUACCUGGGUGAGUAUUUAACUUCUGAUCAUUCUGCUAAUAUUUCCAAGAGCUGUGUUAAUUCAAUGAUAAUUACAUAUUAAUCAAAUGUAUUUAUGCUCCUUUUGGAUCUGUCCCAUUCUAUGGACAAUAGUAUCACUUUAUUAUAACUGAGAUUCUCCAUUUAGGGUAGAAGAAAAAUAGAUUAUAUAAGCACAUGGUGCAAAAUUCAAAAUUUAAGAAAAGCUGCAUGGACUUUCAGUUUCCAUUUCAGCAUGUAAAUAGCUUGAAAGUUGUCUCUCCCACCAUCAAAACAUGAAAAAAGAUGGCCAACUGAAAAAUCAAUGAAUUUUCUUAGAUCCAUCAGAGAAUUGGGGUUACAGGACUAACCACCACCUCAAAAACAGGAGAGACAGAAGAACGAAUCAACCUACCUUUAGCAAAAGCAUGGCGAGAACACUUAAUAACUUGAAUAAUUGCUAGAAGCUAUGUGAACUAGCUUGAGAGUUACAAACUCCUGGGAACCCCCAUACUUGUACUCUUUCCUGAGAUAUAAAAUCUUGGAAACCUCGUAGGUUAUCAUGGUGAAGAUCAGAGGAAACUCCCUCCAUGUCUGGCUAGGGGAAGAGGGAAAGUAACUCUCGAGAUAAGCCCAGAACUUUUUCUAACAAAGCCCUAUCCAACAGGGAAAAAAAUGGGAGACUAUCAGGCUUGGGGCAAGCAUAGUUACCUAAUUUCCUUUUAGCCUUCAAGUCUCACCUAAGGGAGAAAACUCCAGGAAGCUCUUGUAACAGUUGCAGCCCAGGAGUACAGGCCCACUAAAUAGUGGUCAUCACUACUGAGCCCAUGAAUAUGAAAAGGGUAGAAAAGGAAUAUUAUGAGCAUCUCUAUGCCCACAAAUGUAAUGACUUAGAUGGACCAAUUUCAUGAAAGACAAAAGUUACCAAAAUUCACACAAGGAGAAAUGGAUACUCUGAAUAGGACUGUAUCUAUUAACUAAGUUAAUAAUUACUAACCUUCCGAAACAGAAAAUAUCAGGCUAAGAUGGUUUCACUGGUGAAUUCUACCAAACUUAGGAGAAAUGAUACAAAUUCUCUAGUCUCUUCCAGAAAAUAGAAGUACAUCAUUCUCUGAGGCCAUCAUUACCCUAAUACCAAAACCAGACUAAUAUUACAAGAAAGGAAAGCUACAAUAGCUCAAAACCAAAGAUACAGGCAUACCUUGGAGAUACUGCAAGUAAUCUUACAGACCAGUGAUGAUAAAAUAGAUAUCUCAAUAAAGGAAAUCAGUAUUUUGCACUCCUCCAUUCCCUCUGAUGCAGCAGAAUUUGAGCUUCCUGUUCCCACAAUCUUCGUCUCUGCUGGAUGUGUUUCUGAUUUCAGAGUAAAAUUCUUUCAUCAAGGGCUACAACAAAUGGUCUGAUAAACUGGAGGUUGAGCUUGGCACCUGGCCCUUUGAGCUUCUACUGCCAGUGAACCACCAGAGGAAUGAUCACAACGGAGGCAGGGAGGACAAUGACUGCAACACAGGAGAGUCUCUGAAGCGCCUUUUGGAACUCGUGUGUCUGUGAUAAAAUGAAUGGAAAACUGCAUCAACUGCUAAUGAGUCCAGACUUUUAGGAAUGACAGUUUCCAUCACCUCAGUAGGGAACAAUCUAAGACCAGUUAAAGUGCUUACUAAGAAUAAAGAGGUAUGGAAUGGAUAGUGCCAGAAGGAAGAUAGAAUUACCAGCAAUGACUGUAUGUUCAGUUGCAGACAAGGACUGUAGCAGUUACGAGUAUUUCAUCCCAGCUUUGAAAUAAAUGUGUAUAUUCUUUUCUUGA